rnacentral:lncRNA from 1 species
UUAAUACUCUCUAAUUUAUCAACAUUUUUUCGAUGCAUAGUGCAGAUCAAGAACUAGUACAAUGAUAUAUCAAGCAAUUUUAAUCGCAAAGCCUAAGAAGCACUUACUGAUUGCAUAAAUCUAUAUGAACCAAAUUCACAGUGUAAGAGAGAACAAACCAUGACAAGCUUUUCAAACAACUGAAAGUAAAUAUUAUAAUCGAAUGGCCUUCUUUUUCUCGGACUCAUCAUUCAUCGUCACCACCAUCAUCAGUUUUACCGCUCAUCAGAUUUGGCUUAUUCUUAGCUUUCUCCGCUUUAGACAGAGACUCGUUAGCCUCGAGCGUAAAUAAAAUCUUCUAGUUAGAUGGGAUGGUGAAAAUGACAAAUAUUUUUUUUGUUUCUUUUUUAUAUUUUCUUCUGUUUGCAUUAAUUUGUUUUUAAUUGGAUUUUGAAUAGAGCUUGGAGAUCUUAUAAAGAUAAUAUGAAUAUAAUUAAUGUCUAAUAGCAUAUUUUAUAUUACUAUUUUAAAAUAUUAAUUUUCAUUACUUUUUCCCCAAUUGAAUCAAACUUUUAUUGUUUGAUUGGAAAGGGUUACAUUUGUUCAAAAAAAAAAAGAUUGGAAAGGGUUACAUUUUAAUUUUAUAACUGGUCAACAUUAAAUUUUGAAAUAAUAAAUUUCGAUUUUCAUAAAAGUUGUUUUUCUAUCAAUAUUUUCUUAUAUCCAUCUUGGUCAAUAUCAAGAUGAAUAUUGACCAAAAAAUCUUUUAAGAAAAUAUAAAUUUAUUAUUAUAAUUUUAAGUUUACCACGUAAAAAAUUAAAAAAAUAACCAUUUCUAAUUAAGCAAUUACAAAUUGAUUAAAUUUAGAGAAAAAUAAUCAUAAAAUCUAAUUUUUUUUAAAAAAAGAUAUGCUACUAGGAAUUAAUGGUAUUCAUGUUAUCUUUCUAUGAUUUUCAGCUCUAUUCAUAAACCAAUUUAAGAAAAAAAAUCAAGUACAUAGUGAGAAAGUAUAAAAAAGAAACAAAAAUGUAUUUGUCAUUUGUCACAAUCCUAUCUAAUUAGGAGAUUUUUCUCAUUUACUUUCAAGUCUUAUUUUAAUUAUUGUUUUCUUUAAUUUGUUUGAAUUUUUAGAGACUCUUCCCAAAACAAUUUCAAGACUUCCUCUCUUAUAAACAACCCAACAAACUUAGUUGUUUUGGCAUAUUUAUAUACAAAGCUUUAAGUCGUGUCUAUAACAACAUGGACUUAACAAAACUUUGAAUAUCCUACACAAAAAAAUUCAAAUCCGCCAGAAACCAUCAAAUCGAUAAACGGUGUUACUUUCCGUUAGUAGAUGUUGACUAGGAUGCCACAUUUUCAGUCUAAAAUGCCACGUGGAGUCAUGAUGCGAUGUGGUUUCAUAAGAAAACGGUCUAUUUCCCCAUAAACUUAGUUGUUCUAGCAUAUUUAUACACACAAGUUAGAAUCAUGCCUAAAACUACAUGAACUUAGCUAUAUUUUGAAAUUAUUACAAGAACAAUUUAAAUCCGGCGAAAACCAUCAAAUCGGCAACCAAUGUUAUUGUUCCGGUAACAAAUGUUGAUUAAGAUUAUGUGUUUGCACGUGGAGCCACAAAACAACAUUGUUUCAUUUACUUAUUUAUUUCUAAAAAUAAAUAAUUUCUUAUUACGAGUAAAAUUUAUAGUAAAACUUUUAUCCAUCAUAUAAACCACAAGUGCACAUGCAAGCACAAUAGUAUUUAGGAAUCGAAUCCACAUAGACCAAAUAACCACACAAUUGACUAUAUAGUUUCAUAUUUAGCUAGAACAUAAUAGGAGUUAUAAGAGACAAAGCCUUAAAGGUUCAAAAGCUUUCUCUUUAAGAGACAUAAGAAUCAUUCAUCAAAUUAAAAACAAACUCAAGAGAUAAACAAGACUUACACGAUCUACAACAUCUUCUCCACUUCCCAUUUUUCAAGGUUCAAUUUUGAUUUUCUUUUCUUCUCGAAUUUUGAUAGGUGUUUAGGUUGUUUAUAAAGUGGAGGAGGAUAAUGGAGCUUAUCUCUAUAUGGAUAUAUUUGCUUCACUAAACUAAUCAUCUAUUGGUUUCUACUGAAACAAUGAUAUUUAAGUGGUAAAAAAACAUGCUUAAAUAUCAUUUUCAUUUUCAAAGUAGAAAUGAAUAUACAUCAUUUUCAUUGUUACUACUAGAAAAAUGAUAUUUAAAUAGUAAAAAAACUUGCUUAAAUAUCAUUGUUCCAGUAGUAACCAAUAGCUGAUUAGUUUAGUGAAAAAAAACUUAUCUAUUUAGAGAUAAGCUCCAUUAUCCUCUUCCACCUUAUAAACAACUUAAAGACCUAUCAAGAUUCCAGAAGAAAAUAAACUCAAAAUUGAACCUUGAGGAAUGGGAAGUGGAGAAGAUGUUGAUCGUGUAAGUCUUGUUUAUCCCUUGAGUUUGUUUUCAGUGAAUGAUUCUUUUGUCUUUUUGAUAGAAAGAUUUUCAACCUUUAAGGUUUUGUCUCUUGUACCUCUUUUUAUGUUCUAGCUAAUCUCUAAAUGGAGGAUUAAACCUUAAAGAUUAAACAACCUUUAAGGUUGUUUAUAAAGUGGAGGAGGAUAAUGGAGCUUAUCUCUAAAUGGAUAUAUUUGUUUCACUAAACUAAUCAUCUAUUGGUUUCUACUGAAACAAUGAUAUUUAAGCAAGUUUUUUUACUAUUUAAAUAUCAUUUUUCUAGUAGUAAGAAUGAAAAUGAUUUAUAUUCAUUUCUACUUUGAAAAUGAAAAUGAUAUUUAAGCAUGUUUAGGAUGAUCUUGAAGCCUAAAUACAUGAUCUUGAAGCCUUCAUCUGGUUCUUCAGGAUUGUCAUCGGAGUUGUCAAGAUGGCAAACUCAAGAUCGGCGAUGAGCAACUGACGGUGUUCCGGUGGUUUUCGCAUCUGCAACAUGAACCUAGGUCUAGAAUCAAACACGUGUAUGUCUUACGUGUCAUUUCCUUAUGUUUUUGGGUUCAUUUAAUAUUUGGGCUUCAAAGGCUUUUGUAUCACUCGUCUUCUUGUAAGUUGUCCUUUGGGCUUUCUAGUAAAAGCUUUGGUCAACAAAAAAAAAAAAUCUACUGAUUGCACAAAUCUAUAAAAGCUAAAUGCAAAGUGUGUGUGAGAGAGAACGAACUCUGACUACUUUUUCAGAUAACCAAAAGCAAAAAUUAUAUCAAAAUUUUCUCGAACUGCAACUGAAACAUCAUCAUCGAUGAUGCCCUUUUCUCUUGGAAUCAUCAUCAUCGCCACCACCAUCAUCGGCUUAACCGCUUAUCAAAUUCUGCUUCUUCUUAACUUUCUGAGCUUUAGCCAAAGACUCAUCAUCCUCAAUCGCAAAUGAAAUCUUUAUAACUAAAUAAGGUAGUGACUCAUAUGACAAAUACAUUUUUGUUUCCUUUUAUAUUUUCUUCUGCUUGUAUUGAUUUUUUUUUUUCUUUUGGGUUUUGAAUAUAGCUGAAAAUCUUAAAAUGAUAAAAUGAAUACAAUCAAUGUCCAAUAACAUAAUUAAAAACCAAUAGCUACUGGGAUCAAUGAUAUUCAUGUUAUAUUUCUAAUAUUUCCAGCUCUAUUUAAAAACCAAUUUAAGAAGAAAAAAGAUAAAGUACAAAGACAAGAAGAAAAAAAAGAAACAAAAACAUUUGCCAUUUGUCACAAUCCUACUAAAGACUGUGACAAAUGGCAAAUGUUUUUGAGUUUUGUUCAAGCCUUAUAGCAGCGAGCCGUGUAACUGAGGCUGAUGAAAGUCUAUCUGAAGCGAAGAAUGCUAAAAAGAAGCAAAAUCUGAUGAGCGGCAAAGCUGAUAAUGAUACGGGAGAUGAAGACGAUUGCUUAAAGAAAAAUAAGGGAGUCGAGGAUGAUGUUGUAGCUUCAGUUCGAGAAACCCUUGUUUGUAACAUCUGCUUCUGUAUGUCUGAGAAACCAGUCACGGUAGUUCAUUCACUCUCCGGGUCCGGCUUUUAUAGAUUUGUGCAAUCAAUAGAUUAUAUAAGUGUUUCUUAUGCUUUUUGAUUUUGUUAAUGCUUGUUGAAUCUUGUUAUUGGUUUUGGUUGGUUACUAUAUUGUUCACUUUAUUUAAUUAAGCUGCCUAAUAACUACACAUACGUGUUAGUGGCAUUAUAUUACUUGGAAGUCAAGGUAUGGAGCUCAGUCAAUAGCACUCUCUAGAAGGUUGGAUUUGCAUUCCUCAUAGCCUUUGGUGCAAUUGAUUACUCUUUUUUUUUUUUUUUUUUUUUCUUAAUCAAUAACUCCUUGGAAAUGUUUCGUUAUGAAUCGUGAAAUAUUUAUUACUAUUGAGUUUUGCCAUUGCUUAUAGAAUUAGCCUUGCUCUAGUUUCUUGGUAGACUUCCUCUCUUUUUGCCUUCAAUAUGUGUUAACGUAUCUUGCAGUGGGGGAAGAGAUCUCAGUGGCAACAAAAGAACUUUUCGCCAGCCGAUCUCAAUCCUGAAAACCCCAUCCUAUCUCACUAGUUCUUUUCUAGUUUUAUCUUUAUUCAUUCAUAUAUUCUGCAUAUGCUCCUGACUCCUCCGAAGAAGCUAGUGAGAGAUACGAUGGGGUUUACAGAAUUGAGAAGUGCUGGCGGAAAGUUCAGAUGUAGCUAAUGUUCUAAAUUGUUCACCUAAUAUCCUAGUGCUUGAGAAGGCCACUGACCUGUUUGUGAAAACAGAAAGUCCAUCAUGGGAUUUUGAUAUGUUAGUACAUGCUCUCUUUCUUCUCCUUCAUGGCAUGAUAUAUCACUUGGUUCCUGCUGAGGGUCGUUGGAAGUGGAUCAAGUCUCAGCCUGCUAGCAGAAAGUCUGUUGAAGCUUUGUGUCCUUUGGAAAGGAAGAGGAUAAGGAAAGCCACAAAGGCGACUCGAAAUAGUAUCGGAAGCUGAAGAAGCACCAAGCAAAAGGAUGAAAGUGAACAUAUUGACAGUAGCAGCAGCCACUGCAACUGUGUUUUUAGACCCAGACCGGACCGGGUGGUUUGACCAUUGAACCGUGACCUGGUAGUAUCUCCGGUUCGGGUUUCAUGCAAAACUCGACAUAUAAUUGAACUGUAAUCUACUAUACAUUUUUGCAGCAGUUUUUGGGUACCCAAAUCGGGUCAAAAUUUUGACCCGGAAUUAAUUGUUUUUAGACCCGAUUAGGAGAAUCUCGGAUCUUGCCUAAUUUAAUUGUUUGCUCCGAUUUUGAGUCACCAAAUCUUUCCUUAGUUGCUGCGACCUACAUUCAUGGCAAAAAUGAUUAAGUUUCUCAAUUCAAUCUCAGUUAAAGAUACACAAAAUAUUUGCAGUUACACCAAUAAAGAAGCAAACAUUCAUAGCAUAUCUAAUCUUCCCUAUUAAAACGCAAUAGUAACUACUCCAUUUAUCAUUUCUUUCUAUCAACUAAAGCAAUCAUCGAAUGAUCUUAUUGAGAUGGAAAAUAGUUAAUAGAGAAGAGAUUUCAUCUAUAUUCUCGCUUCAAUAAACCUAGCAUAUUCUCUUUUAUUCCAAUAAUUAAGAUCACGCAAUAUAUUUAAUCCUUGAUCAUCAAGGAUUUUAUAAUAUUCGCCUAAACCUAAUGGAACCUACUAAUUCAAACUAUAUAAAUAGCCGCUCAUUUCCAUCGUCUCUAUUCACACACUCUCUCAUUUCCCAAUAGCAAUAUAUCAGAUAAUAAAAUUUUCUUUAUUUACCUUCACCAAUGGCUUCCCAAUUUGCAAUGUUAAGAGAUGUCAGACCAUACAAGACAUCUUGGCGUGUCCAGGUUAAGGUGCUCCAUUCUUGGCGCCAGUAUACCAACAACACAGGUGAAACCCUUGAGUUGGUCCUCGCUGAUUCACAGGUAAAACAACAAUAUAUCAGAGAGUAGCAUUUUAUAUUUCUAUACAUGAGCAACAUCUAAAAACCUAACUCUAAUUCUACUUCAUUAUUAAAACAGGGUGUCAAGAUUCAUGCUUCUGUGAAGAAGGAUUUGGUUGCUAAAUAUGUUAACAGCCUACAAGUGAAUGAGUGGAAGUUCAUUGAACAUUUUACACUUACUCAUGCAGCAGGGCAAUUCAGACCAACCGGUCAUCUAUACAAGAUGUCCUUUGUGAAUGGCACUACUGUGACACGGUCUGACAUUGUCUCUGAUUCAAGCUACUUAACUCUGGCAAGGUUUAGCAGAAUACAGAAUGGCGAUUUAAAUCCUUACAUGUUGAUUGGUAUGUAAUGCUCUAAAAUAUACAUUCUCAUGUCUUAAAUCAAUUCUGUUAAUUUAUGUAUAUACUAAAUGUACUGUUGUGAACCAAAUAUAGAUGUCAUGGGUCAAGUGGUGAAUAUUGGUGAGCUAGAGGUCCUUGAAGCUAAUAACAAGCCAACCACUAAGCUUGACUUUGAGUUGCGUGAUGAACAGUGAGUGAUCUGAUAUGGUUGUUUUAUUAUUAAGUAACCUGAGAACUUAUAGAAUGAGAUUUGAUAUGAUCUAAUAUUUGAUUACAUGUUUUCUACUGCAGUGAUGAUAGGAUGUCAUGCACACUCUGGGGGGCAUUUGCUGAAAAAAUGUUUCAAGCAUGCCAAGCAGCUGAUGGAAUCAUGGUGAUCUGUGUUAUCAGAUUUGCAAAGAUUAAGGCAUACAAAGGUAAAUUACUAUUUCUACCUAAGAUUUUGUAAUGAAUAAAGUUUUAUUUGACAAUUGUUCCUGUUUUCUUUCUAGGUGUUAGGAGUCUCUCUAAUUCCUUUGAUGCCUCACAAGUUCACAUCAAUCCACCUUUCCCUGAGAUUGAAGCUUUCACCAGAGCGUAUAAGUUUAUUUUUCAAACUACUCUAAACUUAUAGUUUUAUUAUAACUGACUGAAAAUUACAUUCUUUGUUUUUUCUAUUAACAGUCUCCCCUCUGAUGGUCUAGCCUUAACUUUCCGUGAAAGUGUUCCUAAGUUCCAGAUGGUUACAGUGAAUAAGGAUGAUGAUUGUCUUCAGUUUGAAAGGAAUACAAUAUCAGAUCUUUUUAACUCAACAGAGGUUUGUAUUUGUUUGAGUUAUUCAUAUAGCAUUGUUAUCUACUUUAGUGUGUGAAAUCUCAUUAAUUACCUAUACCCUGUAGAUUGGAAAGGCUAGAGUUAUCUGCACAAUCUAUGGAAUUGAUACAGAUUGGGCUUGGUAUUACUUUAGUUGCCGUAACUGUAAUAAAAAGGUCACUCACAUUCAUUCUGGAGUGAAUACUGCUUCCAUGAAGAAACAAAAGCCAAAGUUUUGGUGUGACGUCUGCAGGAAUGAUGUCACUAAUGUUGUAGCAAAGUGAGACUUCUUUUCUUAAUCUGAUAAUAAUGCAUAUUUAUAAGUUUGUGUUUUUUCUUUGAAAUAAUUACUAAUAUGACUUCUCUUAUUGAAGGUACAUGCUAUAUGUUAAGGUGAUGGAUAACACUGGUGAAACAAAAUGUCUUUUGUUUGACAGUAUAUGCUCAAAAAUUGUUGGUGAAACUGCUGCAUCAUUGCUAGGUGGAUCAUUCAAUGAGGUAACAUUCUAUUAUGUGAAUUAUAUAUGUAAUUGAUAUAUAUGAAACAUUCAACUGAUAAGUACUAAUUUCCUUAUGUAGAUUGAGGACCCUAAUGAUUUGCCUGACGUAAUAAGGAAUUUGGUUGGCAAGACCUUUCUCUUUCUGCUAUGUGUUGAGAAAGAAAACAUUUGGGAUGGUAAGGAUUCUUUCAAGGUUUCAAGAAUCCUAAACAAAGAUGGACUCUUGCAAGAAGAUGUCCUUGAGGAAUCUGAACAAUUGGUUAAUCCUGCCUCAAUUGUUUCUGGAGAUCAGGUAACAUUUUUUAACUAUCUAAUCUCCUUAAAAUUAUAUCAACUAUCUCUCCUACUGAUAAUCUCUAUAUUCAGUGUCUCAUGUUAACAAUGAGUCAAGACACGUCUGACUCAUCUACUCCAUCUUCCAAGCGUGUUUAUGCUCCUAAUCUGUCUGAGUCAGAGCAAUCCUCCAGUUCUAAGAAGGUGUGCAUCGAGCCUAAAGACUUACAGAAGUCAGAACUAGAAUUUGAGGAGAAUGGUCUGUCUCUAAAUGGAGUUCCUAACAAGAUCUCUGAAGUUGUGAAGGUAGAGAAUGUCAAGAUUGAAAGCAACAAAGGAAAGGGUGUUCAAGACAGUGGUGAUCUUCCUGUGAAUGAGAAAAAGGAGACUAGGCAUGUGGCUAAAGCAGUUGGAAUGAAGAUCAAAAAAGAGAAAUAGUGAUCUAGCACCUGUUUGCUAAGCAAUAAGGAGUUAUCAUAAUUCCAAGUUUUUUAAAAUUUCAUUGUUAGACAUUUGUUGGUUUUUUACUUUGGUUUUUAAUUGAUGUUUCAGUUUGGUUUUUUGGUUAAUCUCCUCUAAUAAACCUGUUUCAAUUUCUGUCUACUGUACCGUUGUCUUACUCAGUUAUUGAAAUAGCAUAUUUAUUUAGUUUAAUCUAAUCAUUAGACCUCAAAACCUAAAGCAGAACCGCUAUAACAUCCUUAUGUUUGCUACACGAAAUCUCUAUUAUAAACAAUGAUGGAAAUUCUUGGAAAUCGUAAUAUGGAAAGCACAGUUUUAUAUAAUCAUUACUAUAAUAUUGAAUAAAGAUCUUUUACAGGCUAACGAUUCAGUUUCCUUGAUAUAUUAUAUCUAACUUUACUUAUCUCAAACGGUUUCAAUGAUUUACAAUAUAUAAUAUCUAUUUUAUAUAGGAAAUUAAAUCUAUUCAUUCACAUCUCUACACGAUUCUAUAAAUACUCAGACUUAACCUUUAGAUUUUUUCAGAAACCUAACCUUCUCUAUAAAAAAAAAACUGAGAAAAACUUACACUUUCUGUGAUUCUAAUGGGUACUAUUGACUACAUUUCCGAUCUCAACCUGCAAAGACCUAGAUGGACUUUGUACGUGAAGAUUUUAUCUAUCUGGAAUCAAGGUAUAGACGCUAUUGAUGAACCUACGAUUAUGAUUCUGACUGAUGAAAAGGUUAGCAAAUUUCUUCUAUUGAACCUCUGUUUCUUAAGUCACAGAUUUACUAAUUUGUUUGAAUCUUCACAGAGAAAACUUACUAUUUAGUUCUUCUUAUAUGCCUAGGCCAAUCAGAUUGAUGCAUUUAUCCCUCCUGGAAACUACUUAUACAAUUUCCGGCCAGGUCUCAAGGAGGGUCACUGGUACUACAUGGCUGACUUCCAUGUGGUACCAUCUACUCAACCUGUUAAGUACUCCUGGAAUCGUUUUGCACUAGAGUGUAUAUGGCCUACCACUAUGUGGCCUGUGUCUCCUAGAUGUAAUGGAAAUUUCUGCAACUUCAUUCAUUCUGAUGAAGUUGAGUAUGCUGGAUUAGAGGAUAAGCAACAUGUGUCAGGUUCAAGUAUAUUUAUUUAUUGAUUGAAAUUAGUAAAACUUUGCUUUAUUCUGACUUUAAUUAAGUAUAUUUGAAAUUUGUUUUCAGAUGCUAUUGGUGUGGUCUCGAGUGUCUCUGCUAUUCAAAGAUUUCCAUUUGUUUGUCGUCAAGGAGAGACAGACUAUGAAACCAGAUUUGUUGUUGUCGAAAUCAAGGAUGACAUGUAAGUUUUAUUUUAAUAGAUAUCUCAAAUUAGUAUCUAUAUUGGCGAUGUGGUAUUGAAUGCAUUGAAUCUGUGAUCAUGUAGGGGUAGGAAAACAAUCUGUGUUGCAAAGGGUAGGUCCUGUCAGGCGUUUGUGACUAAAUGGUUUAGGAAAAUAACUUCUGUGACAUACAAUUAUGACCCAGUUGUCAUUGUCCUGCGUUUUUGGAGGGUUGCUGAGUUUGAAGGUUAGUUAUUUUCCUAUAAACUAUAUAUAACUGUCAAAUACAUUAGACAAUAACUUUAACUGGUAACUAUCAACAUGUUUUAAUAGGUCAAAACUGUUUGAUGAGUGAGUAUGGUUGUUCAAGGCUUUUCCUUGAUCCAACCUUUCCUGAUUUGGACAUUCCGAGAUACAUGUAAGUAGAUACCUAUCAGAAGUUAAAUAAGUAAUCAAAUGCUAUGAUUACUGAUUGGAUUAAGUAAUGUUUCUCUUUUUUGAAACAGCCGUGGCUUUGCAGAACAACAAGAUGAUGUUCAGGAUGUUGGAAUGAAGUUGGAAGUGUGAUGAUGGGAAGCUAAGUUUGGUUCUACCAGUGGCUGCAGUUGUUUUAUUAUUACAAAAAUACUUUCUCGGUUCUCUAUUGUUUUAUGUUUAUGAAGACAAGUUUGUUUUAAGUUUCUUUUGACUAUCAACUGCUUUAUCCUUUAUUUGAAUUUAAUGUUUAUCUAAUUAAUCUACUCUAAUGGUUAUUUGUUUUAUAGUAAGUUUUAGUAUAUGAUCAAUAAAAUAUAUAAUUACUGUAUCAAAGUAAUAAUUUCAUUAGAUAAAUUAACAAGUUUUGAGAUAUUUGCUAAACUAUCAGUUUUGUUCAAUUUACCUUAUUUGAAUAGUCCAUCUUCCUUAUGUGCUAUUGAUUGUGUAUAUCAAGAAUAUUUCAUUGCUCUCUUUCCUGAUACAAAAAAUAUAGUUAGUAAUCUUAUAAUUACAACAAUAAUCACUAUAAUCACCGAAUCAAUCUUAUAGUUUGGUAUAUUCCGCAUAUUAUCUAAAGGUUCUCAUUCAUUACUUAUAGAAAAUAACAUAUCUUAGUUCCUAUAUCUUUGGCAACAGACAAUCAUUUAACAAUAAUAGUCAAUCUACAGAUAUCAAAAUGCUUUCUAUUUAGACCUUAAUCUCCUUUAUAUAGUUACCAUGUAGUCUAAUCAUCUAUAGACAUUCUUAGACUACAAUAUGAAAAAAAAACCUCUAUCUCCAACAGAAAAUAAUGUUCCUGAGUCUAAUCCACCCAAACGUAAUCGAGGAAAUGAGCCUUACACUAGACUAAGGAACAUUUCUCAGUUUAAUCUACCUAUAAUCAGGAAUGGUUCUGUCCCUCUUAGUACAGCGUUUGGUAGUGCUUUUAGAGAUAUUACUAACCUUCCAGACCCACAAGUUAGCCCCAUUGAGAACUCUGCAGAUGCUAAUACAUCUUCAUCUGCAAAACAGAACAGUAAGAAUCAAGGUUAAUUUCUAUAGACAAGUUUUCAUUUACAAUUAUUUUGUUUUCAUUCUCAUCAAAGAUAAAUAGAAAAUACCUUUAUCUCUAAAUCUUGAUGAGUUUUAAAACAGGUUCACUUCGUGGAAAAAUGUCCAAGCCUUGCUCUCCUUACACCAGACCUAACCCAUUGUUAACUCCAUCUGGAUUAAGCGCCAUGACUAAUACAAGCCAGAGUCUUUUUAGCAGAACACCUACAACUCCAAUAAUGCCUCCACCUUCUGUAACACCAAAGAGAAUAGGUGGUUAGAUUAAUUAAGUUCCACAUAUGAAUAAUUUUUGCAACAAUUAUGGUAUGAUAAUGUUUUAAAUAGAGAAGUAUAUUGUAUAAGUAAUAAGUUUAAUAUCUGUUGUAGGUGUUCAAUACACUGGAAAUCCAUCAUGUAUAACCAACCUCCAGACAUCAAGCUUUGUUUCUCAUAGAAUAAAUUUGCCAAGGAAAAACUUAGAUAUUGAUUUUACAAAUGCAGAAACCUCUUCUUCAUCUAAAGGUAACAGUCUUUACUGUAUUGUUUUUCGCUUGGAAGCAAAAUGUAAUUAAGAGGCAUGUCUUAACCUAUUUUCCUGUUUUGUAUUCUCAAGGUCAGAAUACAACUCAAGUAAUAGAUAAUGAAGAUAGUGAUUAUAGCCAAGAUGAUGAAAUGUAUGAUGAUCCUGAGUUUGGUAAUGUCAAUGAAGAUGAGACACUAGCUCAAAGCUAUGAUCUUAGUUGCAGUGAAGGUGAAGAUGAAGUAGUAGAUAACAAUGAAAUGUCAGUUUCUGACGAGGAACAGAUUGAAAUGAUGUCACACAUAACUGAAGUCUCAUCUCAUACCAAUGAUUUGGCAAGAUCAUCUAUUGAGUCUGUUCAGCAAGAAACACAUGAAGGAAAUGUGCCUCCGAAAAGAAAAAAGAAAAGAAAAUCAAAAAAGAAAAACAAACCAAUAAGUAAAUUUUCUUGCCCUUCCCAGUACUUUUUUUAUUUUUGGUAAUUCUGAAUAUGAAACUUAUGAGAAACAUAUUUAUGUUUUUCAGCUUAUCUUGAUCAUGGUGACCCUACUUACUCGUGUAAGUAUUGUGGUGCAUUGAUAUGGCAUGCUGAAAGAAUAAACAAAAAAGUUAAAACGACAGAUCCUACAUUUACACUAUGUUGUGGUCAAGGUUCUGUUAAGCUGCAUUUUCUUAAAGAGUCACCAGAAUUGAUCAAGAAAUUUAUGACUGGGAAAGAUCCUCAAAGUAGGAAUUACAUAAAGCACUUGAGAAUAUGGAAUAUGGUUUUCGCAAUGACCUCACUAGGUGGGAAAGUAGAUAAGUCUAUACCUAAGGGUAAAGGUCCAAGCAUGUUUCGUUUACAAGGAGGUAACUAUCAUUUGAUAGGCAGUUUGAAACCUGCAGAAGGUGAUUAUGCGAAGUAUUCACAACUCUAUAUAGUAGAUACUGAGAAUGAAGUAGAUAACAGAGCAACUGUUAUUGGGUUAGUAUUAUUUCUACUUAACAGGCUUAUUAAAUUCUUUUGUAUUUCUAUGUUGUGGUAUUACUCAAUCAUGGGCAUCUUUUUUUUUUUUAAUGUAGCAAGGGGAAAGAAUCAUCUAGAAGAGGAAGCAAGGAUAUACUGAACAAAGAGACAAUUGAAGCCAUUAUGAAAAUGCUCAAUGAAGUUAAUCCUUAUGUCAAGAAUUUUAGAAUUGCCAAGGAAAGAUUUGAGGUAGUUAAUCCCCAACCAUUUCAUAUGAGGAUAUGCUCUGGUCGUAAAGGUGCUGAUGGAAGGACUUACAGCAUGCCUACGACUUCGGAGGUUGCAGCGUUAAUCCCAGGAGACUUUACAGAAGGUAUGCCAAACCGUGAUAUAGUUCUUCAAGAAAGGACUACAGGCCACCUAACCAGGAUUAGCCAGAUUCAUAUUUCUUAUCUGGCUCUUCAGUAUCCUCUGAUUUUCUGCUAUGGUGAAGAUGGUUACACCCCAGGUAUAGAGAAAUGUUAUAAGGGUAAUAACCAGAAGAAGAAGAAGUGUAUUAGUAUGCGUCAGUGGUUUGCAUUUCGUAUUCAGGAGAGGCCAGGUGAGUGCCAUACUCUUCUACUGUCGAAGAGGUUGUUUCAGCAGUUUCUUUGUGACGCUUACACCACUAUUGAAUCAAAUCGUCUAUCCUACAUAAGGUUCAAUCAGUCUAAGCUUAGAUGUGAGAAUGCAAACUCACUAAAAGAAGCUGCUGACUCUGGUGUAACAAAUAUGGAAGAAGAAGGAAAUCAGAUUUUGAUUCUAGCAUCUUUUACGGGUGGUCCAAGGUAUAUGGUUCAGAGUUAUUAUGAUGCUAUGGCCAUAUGUAAACAUUAUGGUUUCCCGGAUUUAUUCAUCACGUUUACAUGUAACCCUAAGUGGCCUGAGAUAACAAGAUAUGUCACAGCAAGAGGGUUAACUGCUGAGGAUAGGCCAGACAUUGUUGCUAGGAUAUUCAAAAUCAAGUUGGAUUCUCUGAUGAACGAUCUAACAGAAAAGAAGAUGCUUGGAAAGACUGUCGCAUGUAAGUUGUCUGACUACUUCCAAUAGAAUAACAAUAAACUGAGACUAUUUCAAUAUUUUCACACUAUAUUCUAUGUUAUGCAGCUAUGUAUACUGUAGAAUUCCAGAAAAGAGGCCUUCCACAUGCUCACAUUCUUUUAUUCAUGGAUGCUAAAAGCAAACUUCCAACAGCAAGCGAUAUUGACAGGAUGAUAUCUGCUGAGAUUCCAGAUAAAGAAACAGAACCAGAGCUUUAUGAGGUUGUUAGUAAUUCAAUGAUUCAUGGCCCAUGUGGUGCAGCAAAUAUGAGUUCUCCAUGUAUGGUGGAUGGCCAGUGUUCUAAAUCGUAUCCUAAAAAAUUUGAGGAUAUCACCAAGGUAGGCGCUGAUGGUUUUCCUAUCUAUAGAAGAAGGCGCUCUGACCACUAUGUUGAGAAAUGUGGAAUUAAAUGUGAUAAUAGGUAUGUCGUUCCAUACAAUAAAAAACUAUCAGUUAGGUAUGGUGCUCACAUUAACGUUGAAUGGUGUAAUCAAACUGGGUCUAUUAAAUACUUAUUCAAGUAUAUAAAUAAAGGCCCAGAUAAGUUAGCAUUUGUUGUGGAGCCUGUCAAGCCACCACCAACAGAUAAUGGCUCACACGUAGAUCAAACAGCUAAUGGAUCAGAACCAUUACCAGAGGAGAAAAAGAAGAAUGAAAUAAAAGAUUAUUUUGAUUGCAGGUAUUGUAUCCUAAUUUUGCUCUUUCUCAGUUUAUUUCUGUGAUUGGUCAGUCUGGAUCCUGAAAUGGCUUUGUUUAUUAUUCAAAAUUGUAGAUAUGUGUCAGCAUCUGAAGCAAUUUGGAGAAUUUUUAAGUUUCCGAUACAGCAUAAAUCAACACCUGUUUUGAAGCUAUCUUUUCAUGUAAAAGGAAAGCAACCAGCUUAUUUUAAAGGAAAAGAGGUGAUAUCAGAUGUUUUGGACAGAAUUCUCAAUCGAGAUUCUCAAUUCAUGGCAUGGCUAACAUUGAAUAGGAAUGAUGGAAUUGGAAAAAAUGGAAAGCGUGCUCGAGAACUCCUAUAUGCAGAGAUACCUGCAUAUUUUACAUGGGAUGGAACUAAUAAGCUGUGGAAUAAGAGGUCUAGAGGAUGGUCCUUAGGUCGGAUUAAUUAUGUUCCCAGGAAGCUAGAAGAUGAAUAUUUUCUACGAGUCCUACUUAACAUCGUCAGAGGUCCUACAUGUUUUGAUGACAUUAAAACAUAUAAUGGUGUUGUCUAUCCAACUUACAAAGAAGCAUGUUUUGCACGAGGAAUUCUAGAUGAUGACCAGGUGUUCAUUGACAGUCUGGUUGAUGCGAGUCAAUUCUGUUUUGGUGAUUUUUUGAGGAAUUUCUUCGCUAUGUUGCUACUAUCUGAUUCACUAUCUAGGCCAAAAUAUGUUUGGGAACAGACGUGGCAUUUGUUAGCAGAAGAUAUUCAACAGAAGAAGAGAAAUGAGUUUGACAAUCAAGGUGUGAUAAAUAAUGAAAUUGCUAAAGUUAUAUCAUAUCCAUUUUCUCAGUUAAAUAAGCAAUGAUUCUAUUUUUUUCUUGACAUUGCCAUUUAUUUUAUAUGCAGAUUUGAAUCUGACAGAGGCAGAAUUUAGGAACUACACUCUUCAAGAACUAGAAAAAAUGAUGUUGUCUAAUGGAGGUACUCUUGAAGAUAUACAAAACUUUCCUAAGCCAACUAGAGAAGGUAUAGAUAAUUCUAACCGUUUGAUUGUUGAUGAAAUGAGGUAUGACCGUACAUCAUUGGCUGAAAAGCAUGCUGAGUGGAUAGAUAUUAUGACACCGGAGCAGAGAGGUGUUUAUGAUGAGAUUACCACUGCAGUAUUCAAUGAUCUAGGUGGAGUGUUUUUUUGUGUAUGGAUUUGGAGGUACAGGAAAAACUUUUAUUUGGAAAACACUUUCAGCUGCUAUUAGAUCUAAAGGAGAUAUAGUUCUAAACGUGGCUUCAAGUGGUAUCGCUUCUUUGUUGUUGGAAGGUGGAAGGACUGCUCAUUCAAGGUUUGCCAUACCUCUUAAACCUGAUAGCAGUUCAGUGUGCAGGAUAAAGCCGAAGUCUGAUCUUGCUGAUCUGAUAAAGAAAGCUUCUCUUAUUAUAUGGGAUGAGGCACCUAUGAUGAGCAAGUGGUGUUUUGAAUCUCUAGAUAAGAGUUUUUGUGAUAUCAUUGGUAAUAAAGAUAGCAAAGUAUUUGGUGGAAAGGUUGUUGUCUUUGGAGGUGAUUUUAGACAAGUUCUACCUGUUAUCGCUGGUGCAGGCAGGGCUGAGAUUGUGAUGGCAGCUCUUAAUGCGUCUUAUCUUUGGGAUCACUGUAAGGUUCUAAAGCUUACUAAGAACAUGAGGCUACUUAAGAAGGAUUUGAGUGUAGAAGAAGCAAAAGACAUCAAAGAAUUCAGUGAUUGGCUUCUAGCUGUUGGUGAUGGUAGAAUUGCAGAACCUAAUGAUGGUGAGGCUCUAAUUGAUAUACCUGAAGAACUUCUGAUUACCGAAGCAAAAGAUCCAAUUGAAUCCAUUACUCGUGAGAUAUAUGGAGAUCCAGCCAUGUUAAAAGGUACUGAAGAUCCAGUAUUUUUUCAAAAGAGAGCAAUUCUGGCGCCAACCAAUGAUGAUGUACACACAAUCAACCAAUAUAUGUUAGACAAGUUGGAGGGUGAGUCAUAGCUUACUAGCUUUGUGAAAUUAUUUCCUUCAAGUCUUUCUUACAGCUAAAAGGUUUUUUUUUUUAUUUUUUCAACAGGUGAUGAGCAAGUUUUUUACAGUGCUGAUAGUAUUGAUCCUGAAGAUUCCGAUUCACUUAAAAAUCCUGUUAUCACACCAGAUUUCUUAAACAGUAUCAGGCUACCAGGUUUGCCACACCAUGCUUUGCGUCUGAAGAUUGGUGCUCCAAUAAUGUUACUCAGGAAUAUUGAUCCUAAAGGUGGUCUAUGCAACGGUACUCGGCUUCAGGUAACUCAGAUGACCCCACGUGUUCUUCAAGCAAGAGUUAUAACCGGAGACAGAAUUCGUGAUAUUGUUUUGAUUUCAUUAAUCAAUAUUACACCAUCCGAUACAAAGCUACCUUUUCGGAUGCGUAGAAGACAGUUCCCAGUAUCACUAGCAUUUGCUAUGACUAUCAACAAGAGUCAGGGACAAUCACUAGAGAGGGUUGGACUCUAUCUGCCUAAGCCAGUGUUUUCUCAUGGGCAACUAUAUGUUGCUUUAUCUAGGGUUACCUCAAAGACAGGUUUGAAAAUUCUGAUUCUAGACAAAGAAGGGAAGAUUCAAAAGCAAACAACUAAUGUUGUUUUCAAAGAAGUUUUUCAGAAUAUUGACUCAUAAUGCUUCUUGCAUUAUUUGUCAAACAAUCUUAUCAAAUAAGGUAUGUUUAGUUUACCAUUUUAUUUUAUAAUAUAAUUGCUUUAUGGUAAGCAAAACCCCCAGUCAAUCAAUCAUAUAUUUGACUAACAAUCUACUUACCUUUUCACAGAUUCAAUGUCUCAUGGUUCAAAAGAAAGUAACAACCAAUCAAUCGACUUUCAAUUCCAGUUAUUGUGCUAACUAUAUUUGACUUCUUUAAACACUCUUACUUUCGUCAUAUUUGGUUAUGUCUUUCUUUUUAUGUAUUGAAUAAAGUACCAAUCAAUCAAGCAGAUGCACAAUCAUUUAGUUUUCUCAUUUUCACUCAAUUUAUCUUAGCUUAACAUUAAUGAAAAUGUUGUAGAUGUUUAUAAAUUACAUUUCAGUGAGAAGAAAGUGUAAACUAACCUUGCAUAGAUGCGGAUGUAGAUUUGAUUCUCCUUUGUUUCAGAUUUUUGUCCUGAUGCUUCUGAUGGUAGAAGCUUCCUAUUUAAUAUACAGCAAGGGUUAGAUACUUCAAAAUAAUCAUCAGAAAGUCCUUUAUGCCGCCCAAAAUCACUAACUGUACUCUUACCUUCUCUUCAUUUUUUGAUCUGCUUAUGCUAAGUUGAGGAGUUUAUAACUUUCAAUUAGUCGGAUUCUAUGUUAAUUCCUAGACAAACACACAUUAAUCGAUUAGCAAAUCAGUACAGUUGCUAUGUCAUUCAAAGUUUAGCUGUGCUCAGAACACUGAAAAUCAUUUGAGUUACAAACUAUUGAAUAUACUAUUGUCAGAAUAAGAAUUGAACUUACAGUUUCAGCUCGCUUGAAUAAGAGGUCCCAGAAGCAAGUUCCGAUAACCCUCGAUUCCAAUUGCUGCUUGAUCUUAUCCAAGCUGUUAUCAGUAGCAUCAACAAUCCUCUACGCAUUUUCCGAAAUUGACAAAAUGGAGAAGUUUAAGACUGUCAAUUAGAAAAGGAGCCAAAAUAAAGAUACUAAAUUGUAGCAGACAGAUAUCGAGUGAGAAAGAUACCGGAGAAGCGCCGUUCGAAGCCAUGUUAAUUGGGAUCGACGAUUAAGGAAAGAUCUAUGGUCGAUUAAAGGUGAAUAAUCGCUGAUUGAUUGAUCGAGAGAAGAAGUGGUGUUAAGGUUUUGUUUGGUUUAGGUUUUGAGCUGAAGAAGACGAGAUUAAAGAAGAAGGAGAAGAAGAUGAAGAAAAUGGAGAAGAAGAUGAAGAAAAUGGAGAAGAAGAAGUUAGGUUGAUUGUGUUUCGCGGAAUUGAAAAUGACCCGUCUUCACUGUACCAACGAGAUCAAGUCUGUGUUAACCGGCCGGUACGUUACCGGAUCAGAUCAACUAAUCCGACCGGUUCUUUUGCAUUUUUUUUUUUUGCCCAGUAACAUUAAAGGACUUUGUUGUCUACAGCCCAGCAUGUAUGAGAGGUUACCUUAUUUUGUAUUAACAUGUUAAUUAUGUUAUUAAGUUCAAUAUAUAUCAUGCAAACUAAUUAAUUAAAACAUAUUAUUAUCUCAAACAAUCAGUUUUUGCAUAUGAAAAAAACUAUUCACAGCCAUAUUUACAUGAUCAAAAAUUAAUUUUUCCUUAAUAAAAUCAAACUAUCGUGCAAUUUAUAUUGAUUAAAAUUAUUUUAAUCCUUCACAUCUAAAUAAAUCAUAUAAUACAAGAUAUCUAAAAUCUGAGAAUUAUAUUACCAAUGCAAACAGAUUGACAUUUAACAUAUAAAAGCCAAAUGCACAUAUAUGAAAAUUAAUCUUACAGUUGAAACAAGUUGUAUGUUUACACAUUACCAAACUUUUAAAAAAUAAAUAAUUAUGUAGUAUCAAUUAGACGAUUAAUAUAAAAGGAAAUAAUUUUUAUGUAACACAUAUGACUCGAUUAAAACAUGUUAUACACAAAUAAUAUCGAUAACUUAUAACACAAUCCCAACUAUAAUACAUAAAUAUAUAUAUAUCACCACAAAAAAAAAUCAAAAUAAAAUAAAACCAAUUAUUAUUGUAUUAUUAAAUAACAAAUAAUAAAAAUAUUCAACUCGCGGUGUACCGCGGGUAACAAUCUAGUUUCUUAAUAUUUUUAAAUAUCUUGUGUUUAUAUGUCUUUUAAAGAAGAUUGUGUUUUACUGUUUAACAUGUUAAUAUUGUUCGUUUCUACAAUUUCCUUACUAAAAAUACCUUAAUCUUUGUGUUUGAUAUCAUGGAUUUAAUAGGUAUUUAACAAGGGAACUACUAACUUUUUCAUGUAUGUUAUGUGAAGGUCGGUAUAAUUCUUGUUGCUCAGUUUGUUGGAGACACAUUAUUUCAUCUACGGCAUAUAAUAUGCAAAAUCACUUAUAAAUGUUUCAUUCAUUAUACAUUUUUCUACUAUUGAUGAAAUAAGUAUGAAGAUAAAAAUAAAUAUGAACUGUCUAAGUUAUUAAGCAUGCAAAAGACAAGAAAAAUGUUUCUCUUUAGUUCAAGAAGAAGACUUUUUAAACCAAGUGAUUGUAAUGGUCCUCAUGGAAGUGAUAAUAACAAAAGAACCAGUGGAUUUAGUAGGGAUGGACAGGGAUCUGAUACCCUAGAAUUUUGAGUUACCCAAAUAUGAUCCGUAAAACGACUACUCGGAUCCUGAUCCGCUAAUGUCUUUAAGUAUCCAGAUCCGACACAAAUAGCUAAAAUACAUAUAUAUAUAUAUUGAAAAAAUAAACUAUAAUAGAAAAUAUAAUAGAAAUUGUUCAUAAUGAGUUUUAAAUACUUUAGGACAUAUUUACUAUGUUCGUUCGAAAAACACACCAAUUUUAAUAUAGAGUUUAUUUUUGGUGAUAUAUUAAACAAUUUUACUGUUUAUUAGUAUAAAAUUAAUAUAAAUCUUCUUCAUAUAAAUUUCAUAAAAUUAUAUAUAAAACACAGAUUCGGGUAUACUAACCUUACAAUUAAAAAUACCUAGAGUGGAUUGAUUAGAUCUUCGAUCAGAUCUCAGAUCCCGAAUAUUUUGCCUAACCUUACCAUAGAAUCAAAAGAAAACUAUUAGAUCAAAUUGAGUAUUAUCUUGAAUCGAAAAACGAAAAAUUUUGGUUACAACAAUUUAUCUAGCAAGCUUACUACAUCGUUUCAUAUAAAUCUAGAAAUAAAAUGAACGAAACUAAUGGAAUAAACUAAUUUUUGCAUUAUAGGAGAUACUUGUUCAAAAAAAAUAUUAUCUUGAUUUUACUAGAAUAAAAACCGAGAUCUAAGACUGAAAUAAAUUUGAAUAGGUGAUACGAGUUCAAUACAAAGAUUACCUGGAUUUUUUAACGAUAAUAAAAAUCAAGAUCUAAGACUUGGAUAUUGAAAUGUUCAUUUAUGAUUUAGUAAAUCCAAUCUUAAUUCAAUUUCAUAAACGAAACAACUUACAAUUGAUAAUCUUGAAGACAAACUACUAUAUUGCAAAACUUGACUAUCGAUUAACAAGUAUAUGAAAAUUUGAGAUUAGAGAAGAAAGUUACCUUCAAAUCUUUCAUGACUUUCUCGAUUAGAUGAAGUAUGACCGAUUUCUUUAUACUUUUCAUAAAAUGUUUAGAUGGAUUUGAAAUUUGCU